GUAGUCAUAUGCUUGUCUCAAAGAUUAAGCCAUGCAUGUCCAAGUAUAAGCAAUUUAUACAGUGAAACUGCGAAUGGCUCAUUAAAUCAGUUAUCGUUUAUUUGAUAGUACCUUUACUACUUGGAUAACCGUGGUAAUUCUAGAGCUAAUACAUGCUAAAAAUCCCGACUGUUUGGAAGGGAUGUAUUUAUUAGAUAAAAAACCAAUGCACUUCGGUGCUCUUUGGUGAUUCAUAAUAACUUCUCGAAUCGCAAGGCUUCAUGCUGGCGAUGGUUCAUUCAAAUUACUGCCCUAUCAACUUUCGAUGGUAGGAUAGUGGCCUACCAUGGUUUCAACGGGUAACGGGGAAU
rnacentral:rRNA from 1 species